rnacentral:pre_miRNA from 1 species
AGCAUAGUCCGUACAAAAAAUCUUCUUCCCGGGACCUCCAUAUCAAAUUUUGAUCUGAUAUGGAGUUCCUGGGGGGAUGAUUUUUUUGGGAAGUCCCAAGUU